rnacentral:rRNA from 1 species
UACGUAGGUGGCGAGCGUUGUCCGGAAUUAUUGGGCGUAAAGGGCGCGUAGGCGGUCAUUUAAGUCAGGUGUGAAAGCCCCCGGCUCAACUGGGGAGGGUCACUUGAUACUGAAUGGCUAGAGUGCGGGAGAGGGAAGUGGAAUUCCAUGUGUAGCGGUGAAAUGCGUAGAUAUAUGGAGGAACACCAGUGGCGAAGGCGGCUUCCUGGACCGUAACUGACGCUGAGGCGCGAAAGCUGGGGGAGUGAACGGG